CAGUCGCCGCGGUAAUACGAAGGGUGCAAGCGUUACUCGGAAUUACUGGGCGUAAAGCGUGUGUAGGUGGUUGUUUAAGUCUGUCGUGAAAGCCCUGGGCUCAACCUGGGAAUUGCGAUGGAUACUGGGCGACUAGAGUGCGGUAGAGGAUAGUGGAUUUCCGGUGUAGCAGUGAAAUGCGUAGAGAUCGGAAGGAACAUCUGUGGCGAAGGCGACUAUCUGGGCCAACACUGACACUGAGACACGAAAGCAUGGGGAGCAAACAGGAUUAGAUACCCCCGUAGUCCCUGUCUCUUAUACA
rnacentral:rRNA from 1 species